rnacentral:rRNA from 1 species
UGCGAAGGCAGGUUACCAAGUUAUAACUGACGCUGAGGGACGAAAGCGUGGGGAGCGAACAGGAUUAGAUACCCUGGUAGUCCACGCCGUAAACGAUGCUAACUCGUUUUUGGGCUAUAUGGUUCAGAGACUAAGCGAAAGUGAUAAGUUAGCCACCUGGGGAGUACGACCGCAAGGUUGAAACUCAAAGGAAUUGACGGGGGCCCGCACAAGCGGUGGAUCAUGUGGUUUAAUUCGAUGAUACGCGAGGAACCUUACCAAGGCUUAAAUGGGAAUUGACAGCUGUAGAAAUACGGUUUUCUUCGGACAAUUUUUCAAGGUUGCUGCAUGGUUUGUCGUCAGCUCGUG